rnacentral:rRNA from 1 species
CCUUGCCAGCCCGCUCAAGAAACUUAAUGAAUUGACGGGGCCCGCACAAGCGGAGGAGCAUGUGGUUUAAUUCGAUGAUACGCGAGGAACCUUACCUGGGCUCGAACGUAAGAUGACUGUAGGUGAAAGCUUACAUCUCUUCGGAGCAUUUUACGAGGUGCUGCAUGGUUGUCGUCAGCUCGUGCCGUGAGGUGUCGGGUUAAGUCCCAUAACGAGCGCAACCCCUACCUUUAGUUGCCAUCAGGUUAAGCUGGGGACUCUAAAGGAACUGCCUACGCAAGUAGUGAGGAAGGCGGGGAUGACGUCAAAUCAGCACGGCCCUUACGUCCAGGGCUACACACGUGCUACAAUGGCCGAUACAGAGGGCAGCUACCUGGUGACAGGAUGCAAAUCUCCAAAGUCGGUCUCAGUUCGGAUCGGAGUCUGCAACCCGACUCCGUGAAGUUGGAUUCGCUAGUAAUCGCGCAUCAGCCAUGGCGCGGUGAAUACGUUCCCGGGCCUU